rnacentral:rRNA from 1 species
GGUUAAGCGACUAAGCGUACACGGUGGAUGCCCUGGCAGUCAGAGGCGAUGAAGGACGUGCUAAUCUGCGAUAAGCGUCGGUAAGGUGAUAUGAACCGUUAUAACCGGCGAUUUCCGAAUGGGGAAACCCAGUGUGUUUCGACACACUAUCAUUAACUGAAUCCAUAGGUUAAUGAGGCGAACCGGGGGAACUGAAACAUCUAAGUACCCCGAGGAAAAGAAAUCAACCGAGAUUCCCCCAGUAGCGGCGAGCGAACGGGGAGGAGCCCAGAGCCUGAAUCAGUGUGUGUGUUAGUGGAAGCGUCUGGAAAGGCGCGCGAUACAGGGUGACAGCCCCGUACACAAAAAUGCACAUACUGU